rnacentral:rRNA from 1 species
GGGAUAGCAGUUGGAAACGACCGCUAAUACCGCAUAAGCCAACAGGGGCGCAUGCUCUGGUUGGAAAAGAUUAAUCGGUGUGAGAUGGACCCGCGUCUGAUUAGCCAGUUGGCAGGGUAACGGCCUACCAAAGCGACGAUCAGUAGCCGGCCUGAGAGGGUGAACGGCCACAUUGGGACUGAGACACGGCCCAAACUCCUACGGGAGGCAGCAGUGGGGAAUAUUGCACAAUGGGGGAAACCCUGAUGCAGCGACGCCGCGUGAGUGAAGAAGUAUUUCGGUAUGUAAAGCUCUAUCAGCAGGGAAGAAAAUGACGGUACCUGACUAAGAAGCCCCGGCUAACUACGUGCCAGCAGCCGCGGUAAUACGUAGGGGGCAAGCGUUAUCCGGAUUUACUGGGUGUAAAGGGAGCGUAGACGGUGAUGCAAGUCAGAAGUGAAAGCCCGGGGCUCAACUCCGGGACUGCUUUUGAAACUGUGUAACUGGAGUGCAGGAGAGGUAAGCGGAAUUCCUAGUGUAGCGGUGAAAUGCGUAGAUAUUAGGAGGAACACCAGUGGCGAAGGCGGCUUACUGGACUGUAACUGACGUUGAGGCUCGAAAGCGUGAGGAGUCAAUAGGAUUAGAUACCCUGGUAGUCCACGCCGUAAAACGAUGAAU